AGCUCACCUCGACGAAGUCGAGAUGAGCUUAUGCUAUACCCCCGGCGUUGGCGUCGGCGUCGGCGUUAGCGUCGGCGUCCCGGUUAAAGUUUUAGGAGCAAGUCCCAUUCCCAAGUAACUAUAAGCCCUACCUUGACCAAACUUGCAUGGAUGAUGCAUCUAGGGAUGGACACUACCACACUUGCUUCGGAUGCUGGAUAUGACCUAGAUUUUCCAGAUGAUUGACCAGGUUAAAGUUUUUGGAGCAGGUCCAUUCCCAAGGAAUUAUAAGCCCUACCUGGACCAAACUUGCAUGGAUGAUGCAUCUAGGGAUGGACACUACAACACUUGCUUCGGAUGCUGGAUCUGACCUAGAUUUUCCAGAUGAGUGACCAGGUUAAAGUUUUUGGAGCAGGUCAAUUCCCAAGUAACUAUAAGCCCUACCUGGACCAAACUUGCAUGGAUGAUGCAUCUAGGGAUGGACACUACAACACUUGCUUCGGAUGCUGGAUCUGACCUAGAUUUUCCAGAUGAGUGACCAGGUUAAAGUUUUUGGAGCAGGUUAAAGUUUUUGGAGCAGGUCCAUUCCCAAGGAAUUAUAAGCCCUACCUGGACCAAACUUGCAUGGUUGAUGCAUCUAGGGAUGGACACUACAACACUUGCUUCGGAUGCUGGAUCUGACCUAGAU